CACCUUUUUCACUUUCCUCUCAUUUUCACUUUUAUAAUUACUCCAUUUUUCUCUCGUAAUUACCGGUCGCAACCUAUACACUUCUUGAUUUUGAAUUUCUUCAAAUAUGUUUUCUCUGUUUGAGGUUUCUUUCUAGGACCGCAAAUGGAUCUAAACACAUAGAAAAUUUCUAUGGAUUAGGUUUUAAUCUGAGCCAAAUUCUGAAAGGUGAGUCGAUUCUCUGGUCAAAAACCAGAUAGUCAGAAACCAUACCAAAAGCUCUUGUAUCCUCGUGCAAUCUGCAGGCAGCACUAGGGAUUUUCGCUUGUGGAUUUGAAGCGGUAGUUCAAGCCGUUUUUGACGCCAGAAUUUUCUCUCAUCUGUUUCGUCUCCUUAGUAAUCCUAACGAAAAGUGUAAUCUAGAGAAAAGAAACUCCAUGUUCUUCUCUUGGAGAAAGGAAGAUGAUAGUUCACUUAGAGUAGUGAUACGUCUCUUGGCCAAAGUAUGAUUUCCUCCAAGAGAAAAAUCUCCUUGUUGAAUAGCGCGAAUAAAAAUAUUGGCCUUGAUGCGAGCAUUAUCACUCAUGCAUGUGGAACAAGAGUAGAGCAACAGCUUCUCAUUAGAAUUUGUGUGCAGGGCGUUUCACCAACUAUCAUGUUAUGGUUCCUUUGGUUCAGUUAUUGUAUGAUCCAUUAUCCUCGGUCCAUGUACAUGUACUCCAUUGCGCUAACUUGUCUCAGUUGCCAAUGUUGCAGUUCUCUGUCCUCUGAUCUCCUAAAUUAGUCGUUUAGAAGACAUUCUCAAUUGAGUUUAUCAAUAAAUUUCAGUCAUUUUGCUCUUCCUUUUGAAGUAACUUCACGUCUCAAGGUAUUGGAACAGGAAAGCAAAUUUCAGUUUGAUAUAUGAGAGGUUAAAGACUUUUUUCAAUUGACUGCAGGUAAUAUGCCUUGUAGUCGUGCUGAAAGUUUGUCAAUGCAAUUAUGUUGUAACUAUUACAAUAUCAACAGGUCAAAAGAGUCUGACGUAACUAAACAUGUUUAGUAUUUUCAGCUU